rnacentral:rRNA from 1 species
GGCCUAACACAUGCAAGUCGAACGAGAAAGGGGAGCAAUCCCUGAGUACAGUGGCGACCGGGUGAGUAACACGUGACUACCUACCCUUGAGUGGGGGAUAACCUCGGGAAACCGAGGCUAAUACCGCAUAAUAUCGCAAGAUCAAAGGAGUAAUCCGCUUUUGGAGGGGGUCGCGGCUGAUUAGCUAGUUGGUGAGGUAAUGGCUCACCAAGGCGAAGAUCGGUAUCCGGCCUGAGAGGGCGCACGGACACACUGGAACUGAAACACGGUCCAGACUCCUACGGGAGGCAGCAGUGGGGAAUUUUGCGCAAUGGGGGAAACCCUGACGCAGCAACGCCGCGUGGAGGAUGAAGCUCCUUGGAGUGUAAACUCCUUUCGACCGGGAAAAUAAUGAUGGUACCGGUGGAAGAAGCACCGGCUAACUCUGUGCCAGCAGCCGCGGUAAUACAG